GAUGAACGCUGGCGGCGUGCCUAAUACAUGCAAGUCGAGCGAACAGACGAGGAGCUUGCUCCUCUGACGUUAGCGGCGGACGGGUGAGUAACACGUGGAUAACCUACCUAUAAGACUGGGAUAACUUCGGGAAACCGGAGCUAAUAUCGGAUAAUAUAUUGAACCGCAUGGUUCAAUAGUGAAAGACGGUUUUGCUGUCACUUAUAGUUGGAUCCGCGCCGCAUUAGCUAGUUGGUAAGGUAACGGCUUACCAAGGCAACGAUGCGUAGCCGACCUGAGAGGCUGAUCGGCCACACGGGAGCUUGGACACGCUCCAGACUCCUACGAGAGGCAGCAGUAGGGAAUCGUCCGCAAUGGGCGAAAGCCUUGCGGAGCAGCGCCACGUGAGUGAUGAAGGUCUUCGGAUCGUAAUACUCUGUUAUUAGGUAAGAACAAAUGUGUGCGUAACUAUACACGACGUGACGGUACCUAAUCAGAAAGCCACGGCUAACUACGUG
rnacentral:rRNA from 1 species